CGCGAAGUAGAGCAGUUUGGUAGCUCGCAAGGCUCAUGACCUUGAGGUCGUGGGUUCAAUUCCCACCUUCGCA
rnacentral:tRNA from 1 species